UUUCAUUGCAGUUUGCAUAAGAAAGACAUCCCGUCACAUUAUUUUUUUCUAUGUGCCUGUGGCAUUAUAUACAUUUUAAGUUAAAUUUAUUGGAUUAACAUUCAUCUCCUUUUACAAGAAAACAAAUCCGAGAGAUUUGCGAUAAUAAACCCUGCAAAUACCUGAAUAAAACACACUAAUCAGUCGAACUCUGUUCAAAGUUCUAAGAAUGAUAUGCACCAAGAAGAGAAGUAUACCUGUAUGCAUCCAAAGAUGUAUAUGGCAGAG
rnacentral:lncRNA from 1 species